rnacentral:rRNA from 1 species
AUUGAACGCUGGCGGCAGGCCUAACACAUGCAAGUCGAGCGGAUGAAGGGAGCUUGCUCCUGGAUUCAGCGGCGGACGGGUGAGUAAUGCCUAGGAAUCUGCCUGGUAGUGGGGGAUAACGUCCGGAAACGGGCGCUAAUACCGCAUACGUCCUGAGGGAGAAAGUGGGGGAUCUUCGGACCUCACGCUAUCAGAUGAGCCUAGGUCGGAUUAGCUAGUUGGUGGGGUAAAGGCCUACCAAGGCGACGAUCCGUAACUGGUCUGAGAGGAUGAUCAGUCACACUGGAACUGAGACACGGUCCAGACUCCUACGGGAGGCAGCAGUGGGGAAUAUUGGACAAUGGGCGAAAGCCUAAUCCAGCCAUGCCGCGUGUGUGAAGAAGGUCUUCGGAUUGUAAAGCACUUUAAGUUGGGAGGAAGGGCAGUAAGUUAAUACCUUGCUGUUUUGACGUUACCAACAGAAUAAGCGCCGGCUAACUUCGUG